rnacentral:rRNA from 1 species
GAUGAACGCUGGCGGCGUGCCUAAUACAUGCAAGUCGAGCGAAUGGAUUAAGAGCUUGCUCUUAUGAAGUUAGCGGCGGACGGGUGAGUAACACGUGGGUAACCUGCCCAUAAGACUGGGAUAACUCCGGGAAACCGGGGCUAAUACCGGAUAACAUUUUGAACCGCAUGGUUCGAAAUUGAAAGGCGGCUUCGGCUGUCACUUAUGGAUGGACCCGCGUCGCAUUAGCUAGUUGGUGAGGUAACGGCUCACCAAGGCAACGAUGCGUAGCCGACCUGAGAGGGUGAUCGGCCACACUGGGACGGAGACGCGGCCCAGACUCCUACGGGAGGCAGCAGUAGGGAAUCUUCCGCAAUGGACGAAAGUCUGACGGAGCAACGCCGCGUGAGUGAUGAAGGCUUUCGGGUCGUAAAACUCUGUUGUUGGGGAAGAACGAGUGCUAGUUGAAUAAGCUGACACCUUGACGGUACCUAACCAGAAAGCCACGGCUAACUACGUGCCAGCAGCCGCCGUAA